ensembl:lncRNA
CAGCUAAAACCUUGCAGACUACUACUGUCUACAGCCACUGAAUGCUGAGAAGCGCUGCUGCUCCCAGACCCCAGAAGGCCUCUCUGGCACAGUGACCUGGACGGGACGCCAUGACACCCACCCAGAUGAGAAACCUCUCGGCCAUCCCUCUGAGUGCCAGGCCAACUGCAAAAAGGAACAGGCCACCUCUGGCCACUUUUCUCUUUGCCGGUCAGAAUGGAGUGCCUGCCCCCUCUCUGUUCUCUAGUAACUGACGCUGCUCAACUGGCACUGAUGGCACCUGGGUACCCUGGCAAGAGUCAGCAUGGACUAGGUCCUGGAAGGACUGGUCUGCGGGGCAGGUAUCAAAAGCUCAGACACGGCAGGGUCAGGAUAAGGACGCCCUUCCUAGAACCUGGGUAAAGGCAAGGACUGUAUUUCAGAGAACAGGAAAGGGAUUUGUUACUAGAACUAGACAUCCGAGAUCAAGGUGACACGAUGAAAAUAGUCAUGACAAUUGCUUGGGGCUCCUGAGCUCCCCCUGGCUAAGAACAGGAUUUUUCCCAGCACCUGGGGAGGCAGAAAGCCCGCAGACACCACUGACAGAUCCUCCCCUGAGUAAACGACCUAAAGGAAUUCAAACCCAAGGCCUCCUGACUCCAAAGCCUGCUGUAAAUUGUGAAUUGUGUCUCUCACCUACAUGUUCAAGCUCUCAGCCCUGGUACCGUGAGUGUGAUCUUAUCUGGAAAUAGAGUCUUUGUAGAUCUAAUGAAGAUAUAAAUGAAGACGAGGUCAGACUGGACAAGGGCGGCCCUAAUGCAAUGGUGUCCUUAUAAGAGGAGACACAGACACACGCAGGAGGAGGACAGCCAUGUGAAGACAGACAGAAAGUGGAGCGAUGCAGCUCAAAGCCAAGGACGCCAUGGACUGCUGGCCCACACCAGAUGCCAGCAAGAGGCUAGGAAGGGUUCUUCUCCAGAGCCUCCAGAGGAUCACGGCUCUGCCAAGCCUUGACCUCAGACUUCCAGCCUCCAGACUUGGGAGGGAGUACAUUUCUGCUGUUUGACGGGACGCAAUUUGUAAUAAUUCGUUACAACAGCCCUAGGAAACUAACACCCCUCCCUCUUGAGAGGUGACAAGAAAUCUCAGGGAAUCCACCACUCAGCCACUAUUUGGUUUCAGUGCAAGUCACUAAACUUUCUAAACAUCAGUUCAAUUCAGCUGGACAAGCCUUUAGCAACUGCAUGCUUAGUGCCUGACACGGCACGUUACGUGUUUGCAGGCUUUUCACAAAGGUGGAGAAAACAGCCCAGCCAGCUCCUGACCCUGUAGAGCUUUCAGUCUAGAGAGAAAAAGGCUGGAGGUUAAAGAAGAAGUUAUCAGAGAUAGAAUGACUUCACGCCCUUCCAGUGUUCAUGCUGGGUCAUUGUGUAUCAGGCCGGCCCAAGGAUUGUUUGAUUCCUUAAAGAAGGUAUCUUUCUUUGUCUUUCCUGUUUGCUAUGUGAUUAUAGCCCCCAAAUCAUGAAGUUAAAUAUUAAUAUGUAGAUUUCUAUCCAGUAGAAAAAAAUCAAACCAAAGCUUAUAAUUUUAUUGUCUGUAGGACAUUAGUAGUCAUUUUUUCUAAUAAUAAAAUUUCUUAAAAAUUGAGAUAUAGUUGACAUAUAACAUGUUGUAAGUUUAGGGUGUACAACAUAUUGAUUUGAUAAACUUCUAUUGCAAUAAUGAUUGCCAUUGUAGCAUUAGCUAACGCCUGUGUCACGUCACAUAACUAUCAUUCCUUCUAGUGGUGGGAACAAUUCAG